GGACCUGACUGCUAUCGGAUUGAUACUAAGCCAUGCGAGUCAUUGUAGCAAUACAAGGCAUACGGCUCAGUAACGCGUAGUCAACCUAACCUAUGGACGGGAAUAACCUCGGGAAACUGAGAAUAAUGCCCGAUAGAACAUUAUGCCUGGAAUGGUUUAUGCUCCAAAUGAUUUAUCGCCGUAGGAUGGGACUGCGGCCUAUCAGUUUGUUGGUGAGGUAAUGGCCCACCAAGACUAUUACAGGUACGGGCUCUGAGAGGAGUAGCCCGGAGAUGGGUACUGAGACACGGACCCAGGCCCUAUGGGGCGCAGCAGGCGAGAAAACUUUGCAAUGUGCGAAAGCACGACAAGGUUAAUCCGAGUGGUUUCUGCUAAAGAAACCUUUUGUCAGUCCUAGAAACACUGAUGAAUAAGGGGUGGGCAAGUUCUGGUGU
rnacentral:rRNA from 1 species